rnacentral:lncRNA from 1 species
CCUAGCCAAGCUCUCUUGGUUCCAGAUUUUAUGCAAAUUUGUAUAAUAGAAUGCAAAUGAUUUCCCAGUAAUUCAGGGCCCAGGGGCCCAUGUUCAUCUGUUUUUAGCUGUGUACCUGGGCUUUUUUGAUAUGGUUACUUUGGAGUGAGGGGGCAUAUGCAGUGAAGCUUAAAGAAGGCUGGGGGGUUCUGGCUUCCUCCAUCAGUAGACGCUAUGCCUGGGAUUGCAUCUUGAAGCUGCAGCUUCUCUGUCUACAGCCACAGGCCAUGACUUACAUAUGUGGGGAACAGGAGAAGGUCAACCCAGACUAACAUAUUUUUAAAAAGUCCUUUAUUUCUGCUCUUCUCCCCCAAACAUUUCAGUGCCAUAGUAUAUAUCAUUUAUUCAUCGCACAUGUAUUAUUUAUCGGCUAUAAGUACUGCAGUAGGUAUUGAAAAGAAAUUAGCAUGUUCUCCUCUUAAAUGUGAAAUUGUGGAACUCUGGCUGUAGCUUUUCCACUUCCAACAUGAUAGCUGGCCCCUGUGCAUGUUGACUGUGUGAGUGUGGUGAGUCUCAUUUCAGAUGGGUUGAGCAUGUAAAUCAUGUGUCAAGUUUCAAAGACUCUUGGCAUCAACAAGUGAAUUCAGAAAUGUUCAUAUUUAUAUAAACAUGUUUGUGUAUCAUUUUUAUAUUAACUGCUUUUUUAAAAGAUAGUAUAAAUAAAAAUAUAUUCAAUAUGACCACUAGAAGGAUUGACAUGGUGUAUAUAGCUCCCAUUGGGUUUCUGUAGGGCAGCAUUAGAGGAGACUUCUAGCAUCUCAGUAUACAAUGUAGUCACCUUCUCACUUUGGUGUUUGGGAAUUAUAUAGAAUUGUAAAAGAUGACCUUUCUUUUUCCACAAAUGUGGUCUAGUUUACAUGUUUGCAGCAUCCUGUAUAACCCACCUCAGAGUAUGUUCCUAUCUAUAGUUAUUCCACUGUCUGUCCACUGAAGUAGUCAGGCAGGCUUUUUCUUAUCUUCAUAGAGGAAGAUGCAGAGUCAGGGUGACUUGCUAAUCUACAGAAUUAGAGCUGAGCUGUGAAUAGAAUUCUAGCCUUUGAACUUCUAUCCCUAUUGGAUAGAAGGCUGUUAGAAAAUAUACUAAGUAUAUAAGUAGCCAAGGAGCUAAAGGGAUCUGCAACCCUAUAGGUGGAACAACAUUAUGAACUAACCAGUACCCCGGAGCUCUUGACUCUAGCUGCAUAUAUAUCAAAAGAUGGCCUAGUCGGCCAUCACUGGAAAGAGAGGCCCAUUGGACUUGCAAACUUUAUAUGCCCCAGUACAGGGGAACACCAGGGCCAAAAAGGGGGAGUGGGUGGGCAGGGGAGUGGGGGUGGGUGGAUAUGGGGGACUUUUGGUAUAGCAUUGGAAAUGUAAAUGAGCUAAAUACCUAAUAAAAAAUGGAAAAAAAAAAGAAAAUAUACUAAAGCUUCUCCAUAUGGACAUUUUUCUUUACCAAAGGCUAUUGUGCAAACACAGUCCAUUCAGAAGUGUAUGUAGGUUAUACAUUUAGGUAACAUAUCAGACAGCUUCAUUGUGUGUGUGUGUGUGUGUGUGUGUGUGUGUGUGUGUGUGUGUACUUGUCUACAGCUGGAUAAUAUGACAUAGCCAUCCAAGGUUUUAGCUAAUGCUUAGUUUUAAGGUACAACUUCUGUUGGAUUUGUAGGCUUGUUAGGGAAGAACAAGGUCAGGGUAGCAGGUGCAUUGUCACUGUUAGCAUGUAUAACAUUUAUAACAUCUUCUCAUGUCAAGUUCUUGGCAUUAUAAGGCAUGGCUGAGAAGCUCUGAUUGAGAUUCAGUCAUCCAUGAUAUAGAAUGGCAAGACAAGUUGCCUGGAACUUCAAGGCAGUGAAUUGUAACCAGGAAGUCACUUGACAUGAGAGGUGGCCUAAACACGGAGAGGGGAAGAGAAAGGCUGUAUCGGUCAAGGCAGGUAAGAUGUGUAUAGUUGUUGAGGGCACUGAGGCCCAGGAGAUUUCGAGUGUCUUCCUAGCUUUACCAGGUCCACAAUGUUGGAACAUGUUAUAGUCUUUCUGUUUCUUUAUGUUCCAUUGAGGGAGUUGGGUUAGAGAGUCUCUCAUCAUUUUGAAUACAUGACUUUUGAAGGCUAGAGAAUCAACAAAGAGAAAGCUAAUAAGCUACCAAUCACAGCAGCGAGCUUUUGGCUCUCACUGCCCUUCCUUCUGUCAUCUAGCAGAGUGAUGUGUGGCUCAUGUGACCAUUGCCUUGGACUGUUCGCAUGUCCUGAUGGAACACAAGCUUAUGUAGAAUUCCUUUAUGACGGAGACCAAAACAUAGCAGUUGGAGUGUGAGACCUAAAAGCAUGGUUCUCUGCUUGUUUUUUUGAGCUUACCCUGAUCUCCUAACAUUUUCUGAGUUCUAAUUAUUUCUCCCACUAUUCCAUCUACGCUAUACUUCUACAGAUUAAAACAUUUCUCAGCUAGAGAUGAGGCAGUAUUUCUUCUUAGAGGAAUUUUAAUUUAAUUGAGUUUCCUAUGUUCAGGGCAACAAAAGUACUUGAAUAGUAAGGUAGCUUUGUGUUGUGGAAAGUGAGUCUCAGGGGCGCAUCCCCUCUGCGAGGCCCUAGUCACCCUCUUCUGCCUCAUUAUUCUUUGCUUAGCACGGAGAAGCCUGGCAGGCUUUCUGUUGGAAUGAAGAGAUUGGCAGAGCCACCCUAGACGGCAGCAUCCCAAAACACUGUGGCAGAAGGUUUGGUCUACAUACCAAGGCAGCCAGAGGAUUAAUUGCAUUCUGUGAUCACAGAAAAGGUGCUGAAUUAUACUCCUCGUGUUUUAAGAAUGACAGGUGUUUGCUUUGCCGUCUCUGUAAACAAUGCUUCACAGGGAAUGCAGAAGCCAGAGUUCAGAAAAAGAAAUAAAUAAAUGAAAUGUACCAAAGUGAAGUUCUCUGGGAGCCAGUUAGCUCUUUAAAAGGACCUAAAAAUGAACUAUUUCAUGAUUGGAACCUGGAAAGAUCAGAAGUAGGGUGAGGAAGUGUUUCUAGAAAUUUCCAUAAGUCUAAUUAAAGCAUAUUCCAUUUGGAAAUGCAAUUUCAAGUAUGAAAUAAGAUUUCAAGUUGCCCACUAUCAUUUGAUCCCCUUCCCUUUUAUGUUAGAAUGUGUAUUAGAGGAAAAAUUGCCUCUGCUGUUCCUCUCUGUAUGCUUGUUCCAUGCCCCCCGGACAAACAUAUCCACUAAAUGUCCAGGGUGUUCGAUGAUCUUUAUGUUGCUCUUCUCCAGAGUCCGUUGUUCUUUUGCGAGUGUACAUUCAGUGCAUUGCAGUCAUGUAUCCACCGCCUUGUGUAAUACCUUUGCUUUGUGGCCAUCUCUUCAAUCUCUUUUCACCCAGGAAGGGUGGUCCUAAAGAAUUCUGUGCAGUCAUUUGACUUGCUUGCGAGAAUACAUGAAGCAGGUGUCAGCUUCAGUGUGCAGGAUUUUCCAACCAUGACUUUUGUUAUUCUGCGUAGCACCCCGCUCUCUCUUCACAAGGCUGAAAAAGAGAGUCUUGCUGAGUCUUAUGUUCAGGGUUUGAGCAGAGUACAUUUUGGUUUAAAAUGUUUAAUGGCUUGGAGAAAAUUUCAUUCUGGACAUGGUGCUCUGUGCCGGAGGAGAGUGUUGAUGUGCUAUUAGACCUCAUUCCCUUCACUGCUAUUGGGUGAUAUGGAGAUGCUGCUCUGAGACUCUGGCUAGCGGUACUGAGUGAGGGCUGACGCUGCCCAGCUUGAGCAUUGCAGGACUCUUCUGCACUGCUCUCUCAGAGCAUGUCCUC